rnacentral:rRNA from 1 species
UGGGGAAUAUUGCACAAUGGGCGCAAGCCUGAUGCAGCCAUGCCGCGUGUAUGAAGAAGGCCUUCGGGUUGUAAAGUACUUUCAGCGGGGAGGAAGGGAGUAAAGUUAAUACCUUUGCUCAUUGACGUUACCCGCAGAAGAAGCACCGGCUAACUCCGUGCCAGCAGCCGCGGUAAUACGGAGGGUGCAAGCGUUAAUCGGAAUUACUGGGCGUAAAGCGCACGCAGGCGGUUUGUCAAGUCGGAUGUGAAAUCCCCGGGCUCAACCUGGGAACUGCAUUCGAAACUGGCAGGCUAGAGUCUUGUAGAGGGGGGUAGAAUUCCAGGUGUAGCGGUGAAAUGCGUAGAGAUCUGGAGGAAUACCGGUGGCGAAGGCGGCCCCCUGGACAAAGACUGACGCUCAGGUGCGAAAGCGUGGGGAGCAAACAGG